rnacentral:rRNA from 1 species
GUACGUAGUGGCGAAGCCGUUAGUCCGGAACUUAUUGGGCGGUAAAGAGGCGACGGCAGGUGGUUGAUUAAGUCUGAUGUGAAAGCCCACGGCUUAACCGUGGAGGGUCAUUGGAAACUGGUCGACUUGAGUGCAGAAGAGGGAAGUGGAAUUCCAUGUGUAGCGGUGAAAUGCGUAGAGAUAUGGAGGAACACCAGUGGCGAAGGCGGCUUCCUGGUCUGUAACUGACACUGAGGCGCGAAAGCGUGGGGAGCAAACAGGAUUAGAUA